rnacentral:rRNA from 1 species
ACGGGAGGCAGCAGUGGGGAAUAUUGCGCAAUGGAGGCAACUCUGACGCAGCAACGCCGUGUGCAGGAUGACGGCCUUCGGGUUGUAAACUGCUUUCAGUAGGGAAGAAAUAAUUGACGGUACCUACACAAGAAGCUCCGGCUAACUACGUGCCAGCAGCCGCGGUAAUACGUAGGGAGCAAGCGUUAUCCGGAUUCAUUGGGCGUAAAGCGCGCGCAGGCGGAUGUUUAAGCGGGACUUUUAACCCGAGGGCUCAACCCCCGGUCGGGUUCCGAACUGGACAUCUUGAGUGCGGUAGGGGCAGGCGGAAUUCCAUGUGUAGCGGUGAAAUGCGCAGAUAUAUGGAAGAACACCGAUGGCGAAGGCAGCUUGCUGGGCCGACACUGACGCUGAGGUGCGAAAGCGUGGGGAGCGAACAGGAUUAGAUACCCUGGUA